CUGCCUAUCCCUCCUGAAGAGUCCAUAACAGUUCAACAGGGUGCUCCAGUCACAGGUCUUAUCCCACCAGGUGUUACUUAUGCCAGUGAUGUCAAAUCUCUGGGACUCAGCUGAAGCUUUGAGCUCCUCCCGUUUGUUCCUCACACUGAGUGCACUAGUGUAGAAAUAUUUCAGAUAUAGCUGCCUAUUUCUGAGGAAAAUGGAUCUUCAAAACAUGUCUUGCUGGAGAAAGAAGCAUUUAAUUUUUUUAAGGAAGCUCAUUUGUCUACUUGGAAAAAACAUACAAACUCUCACUGCAAAAGCAAUUAGAAGACAAAAUAAGCACUAAGAAUUAAGGUACUACCUUAA